rnacentral:tRNA from 1 species
GCAUUGGUGGCUCAGUGGUAGAGCUCUUGCUGCCAUGCUGGAGGCCCGGGUUUGUUUCCCGGCCAAUGCU